rnacentral:rRNA from 1 species
GAUGAACGCUAGCGGGAGGCUUAAUACAUGCAAGUCGAACGGCAGCAUUAUUAAAUUUAUUUAGUAGAUGGCGAGUGGCGCACGGGUGAGUAACGCGUACACAACCUGCCCUUAAGUGGGGUAUAGCCCUGGGAAACUGGGAAUAAUACCGCAUAAUAUUAUGACAUCGCAUGGUGUUAUAAUUAAAGCUACGGCGCUUAAGGAUGGGUGUGCGUUCCAUUAGUUAGUUGGUGAGGUAAAGGCUCACCAAGGCGACGAUGGGUAGGGGGCGUGAGAGCGUGGACCCCCACACGGGUACUGAGACACGGACCCGACUCCUACGGGAGGCAGCAGUAAGGAAUAUUGGACAAUGGGCGGAAGCCUGAUCCAGCCAUCCCGCGUGCAGGAUUGACGGCCCUAUGGGUUGUAAACUGCUUUUAUAAUGGAAGAAACCCCAGGACUUGUCCUGGGCUGACGGUACAUUAAGAAUAAGCACCGGCUAACUCCG